CAGGUGCUGAUGCUGUCGUCABUGUGUCGUGAGAUGUUGGGUUAAGUCCCGCAACGWGCGCAACCCUCGCNKUUAGUUGCCAGCACGUUUGGGUGGGUACUCUAGAGGAACUGCCGGUGACAAGCCGGAGGAAGGUGGGNAUGACGUCAAGUCCUCAUGGCCSUUAUGUCCUGGGCUACACACGUGCUACAAUGGCGGUGACAGUGGGAAGCCAAGCAGCGAUGCUNAGCUGAUCCUGAAAAGCCGUCUCAGUUCGGAUUGCACUCUGCAACUCGGGUGCAUGAAGGUGGAAUCGCUAGUAAUCGCGGAUCAGCAUGCCGCGGUGAAUA
rnacentral:rRNA from 1 species